AUGAAUUGCCCAGCAAUUUUCUUGUGGUUCAUGGAUUUGUCUACCCAGACUAUUGAGCUCUUUAAUGAAAUGCUGUUUGUUCCUUCAGUAAUAGCAGGUAUUAUUGUAAGUGAUCCAUCAUAUAAUAAUCCAGCAGAAGGGUAAAUGACUAUCUAGCAUUUGACCAUUGUUAUCUGAAUCUCCUGUAAACUCCUUUGCUUCAGUCCCAGGAUCAUUUAGUUUUUUAUAUGUUUAAGAUUUAUUUUGGUUUGCAUAAGCAAGAUCUUCAGGGCAGUGAAUGCUUCCACAGUUUUAUGUGAGGGACAGUUAGUUAACCCUCACUGCAUGAGUUAUUCUCCUACUGCUGGCAAAGAGGUGUCCUGCUGGUAACUGCUUUAAGAACAGCAUUUU
rnacentral:lncRNA from 1 species